rnacentral:rRNA from 1 species
AAUAGCGUAUAUUAAUUAUUGUUGCAGUUAAAAAGCUCGUAGUUGAAAUUUGGGACUUUAUUAUAUGGUUACCUUUUGGUGAACUAUAUGAUGGGUUUCUUCCUACUAGAGUUCGAUUCUGUUCUUAACUGAAUGGAGUAGCUAUCUCUCGGGGUAGUCAAUUGGUUGUUAUAUCUCCACUAAUGAGCGGAGAGGAGUAAAAUCUUCAAAGUGAGUUAUGUGGGUCAAGGUAUAGUGAUUAAUUGGAGUUCUAGUUCAUUUACUUUGAGAAAAUUAGAGUGUUUAAAGCAGCCUCUUGGGGCACUGAAUACAUUAGCAUGGGAUAAUAAAAUAGGAUCUUCACAAUAUAUUUUAUUGGUUUAAAUUGGAUAUGAAGAUAAUGAUUAAUAGGGACAGUUGGGGG